rnacentral:rRNA from 1 species
UACAGAGGGUGCGAGCGUUAAUCGGACUUACUGGGCGUAAAGCGUGCGUAGACGGUUAUUUAAGUCGGAUGUGAAAGCCCCGGGCUCAACCUGGGAAUUGCAUUCGAGACUGAAUAGCUAGGGUGCGGUAGAGGGAAGCGGAAUUUCCGGUGUAGCGGUGAAAUGCGUAGAUAUCGGAAGGAACAUCAGUGGCGAAAGCGGUUUCCUGGACCAGCACCGACGUUCAGGCACGAAAGCGUGGGGAGCAAACAGG